rnacentral:rRNA from 1 species
AACAAACGCUGGCGGCGUGCCUAAUACAUGCAAGUCGAACGGGAAAGCUUUCGGGUGAGUACUAGUGGCGCACGGGUGAGUAACGCGUGGAUAAUCUGCCUUCGAGUCGGGGAUAACUAGUCGAAAGAUUAGCUAAUACCGGAUAAGACCACAGGAACUGAGGUUCUAGGGGUUAAAGGUUUUUCGCUUGAAGAUGAGUCCGCGUGAGAUUAGCUAGUUGGUGAGGUAACGGCUCACCAAGGCAACGAUCUCUAACUGGUCUGAGAGGAUGAUCAGUCACACUGGAACUGAGACACGGUCCAGACUCCUACGGGAGGCAGCAGUAGGGAAUAUUGCACAAUGGAGGAAACUCUGAUGCAGCGACGCCGCGUGAGUGAUGAAGGCCUUCGGUCGUAAG